AAGCUUCUCCCAUGAUACCAUGAUCACGAAGGUAGUUUUCCCGGGCCAGACUUAUCCAAUGCACUCCAGAUGUGCUGACCCCUGCGAUUUUCCCAAAUACAGGAAAUUCAACUACAUAAUUUGUGGUAGUGGGGGACUGUGGUCCUGCUCUCCUUUU
ensembl:snRNA U1 U1 spliceosomal RNA